GAUGAAGAACGUAGCGAAAUGCGAUAAGUAAUGUGAAUUGCAGAAUUCAGUGAAUCAUCGAAUCUUUGAACGCACAUUGCGCCCGCCAGCAUUCUGGCGGGCAUGCCUGUUCGAGCGUCAUUUCAACCCUCGAGCCCCCCCGGGGGCCUCGGUGUUGGGGGACGGCACACCAGCCGCCCCCGAAAUGCAGUGGCGACCCCGCCGCAGCCUCCCCUGCGUAGUAGCACACACCUCGCACCGGAGCGCGGAGGCGGUCACGCCGUAAAACGCCCAACUUUCUUAGAGUUGACCUCGGAUCAGGUAGGAGUACCCGCUGAACUUAAGCAUAUCAAUAAGCGGAGGA
rnacentral:misc_RNA from 1 species